AUACGUAGGUGGCAAGCGUUGUCCGGAAUUAUUGGGCGUAAAGCGCGCGCAGGUGGUUCCUUAAGUCUGAUGUGAAAGCCCCCGGCUCAACCGGGGAGGGUCAUUGGAAACUGGGGAACUUGAGUGCAGAAGAGGACAGUGGAAUUCCAAGUGUAGCGGUGAAAUGCGUAGAGAUUUGGAGGAACACCAGUGGCGAAGGCGACUGUCUGGUCUGUAACUGACACUGAGGCGCGAAAGCGUGGGGAGCAAACAGGAUUAGAUACCCUGGUAGUCCACGCCGUAAACGAUGAGUGCUAAGUGUUGGGGGGUUUCCGCCCCUCAGUGCUGCAGCUAACGCAUUAAGCACUCCGCCUGGGGAGUACGGUCGCAAGACUGAAACUCAAAGGAAUUGACGGGG
rnacentral:rRNA from 1 species